GGGGUUUCAAGCUGUCAAUCGUCUGGCGGCCUCCUCCCCUCCAGUAGGUGGCUUGCUGCGGCAUUUUGGGGCUCUGAUGUUUAUGUCUUGUAGGGCAGAUCAUAUUCCUGGCAUUCACUCUCUCUCUCAUUCACGAUGGUUGGGAUUUUCGGGCGGGCAGAGCUGGAAGGGACUCCAGGCCCGGUGGAGGUGUGGUCGCUUGGUCUGGCAGAUUGAAGGAUUUGUCCGUGGAUCAGUCUCUCAGGCCU